rnacentral:misc_RNA from 1 species
GGAAGUAAGAGUCGUAACAAGGUUUCCGUAGGUGAACCUGCGGAAGGAUCAUUAUUGUAUAACCGAGGUGCGAGGGCUGUCGCUGACCCGAAAGGUCGUGCACGCCCGAGUGCCCUCACACACAUCCAUCUCACCCCUAUGUGCACCACCGCGUGGGUCCCCCUUUGGCUUGUUCGGAGGGGGGCUUACGUUUUCACACAGACUUUGUAUGCAGUGUAGAAUGUAUUUUUUGUUUUUGCGAUCACGCAAUCAAUACAACUUUCAACAACGGAUCUCUUGGCUCUC